GAGAGUAGAAACCCUGGGGAUCCAGAUCCUGAAGGAAGGGUUUAUCCAGAAGGGUGGUGGAGUGGAAGCCUGAGAGAGACAGAGUAGGAAAAGGCUCAGGGAAACAGCUGCAAGGUGGGACAUUGCAGACCUUGACUGCUGAUAGAGGGUCUCUAGACUGGAACUUAGAAUAGGAGAUGGGCCUGGUUUCCCCUACCAGCCACUGAGGUGGAGUCUGGGCAGGGAAUUGGAAAACUGUCUGAUCAAGUUUGGAUGGAGAUUCUUUUACACUCAGGAAGGAGGAAUACACGUAGUGACCUGGCCAGAGGACCAAGCCAUGAAGAGGAAGCAACCAAGUCAUGAAUAGGAAGUGCACAGAGUCCCAGAGAACACAAGGAGAGAGUGGAGUGAUGGAAGGGGGAAUCAUCUCAGGAGCAGUCAGAAGGAGGUGCCCCAGUAGUGAGUGAACCCUGUUACAGGUGUCCUUUUCUCUGAUUCCUGAAUUGAAUAAUAUAUAGUGUAAUCUUCUGGAAAAGACCGGGUUUUAAAUACUAAAAGAUUUGCCUGCACAACAUUGCUUGAAUGCUGAACCUAAACAGAAGAACCCAGUAAAACAUCACUGGCUGAGCAGAGUCUUCCAAGAGAGUGAACCUCAAUGUGAAUGGUGCUCCACAGCUAGGAUUUCUACGCCCCAGAUGCUCAAAGGCUAAUGCACCGAUGAAGGGCCACUACUUAACCAAUAUACAGUACUACAAUUCCAUUCUGGUGGCUGCAUGGCGUCAUAUUAUUGAAGUACACUGUGCUGAUAACUUCAAACUCAUGUCACAUCACUGAAAUAUUUCUGUAGAAGAAUAGAUUUCAUUGAGAAACAGAGAAUUAUCAAGCACACCUGGAACCAUAAUGUCUUAUGUCUAUCAAUUCAAACCCUGCUUGACUCACUAAUGUUUUUUUCACCUCAUCAAAAAUCUGUCUCUUUAUACCAAUAAUCACUCAUCUUUGGAUAUUUGUUUCCCAUCUCAAGAUUGAUAGGAAGGGGCGGCUUUUAAAAAUCAUUUAUAUGUAGUGUAGAGGUGGAUUUAAAAUAUUGCCUAGGUCCCUUUGAGCCUUUUUACUAGCCUAAUGAAUCUCUCUCUCUCUGAAUAUUGUUUCUCUCACAACUGCCAGGCCAUGGCCCUAGGCUUCUAAAGCAUUUAGCACUCUCCUUUUAUCCUAAAUAAAAUAAGAUCUCGGGCUCUGGUAUUCCUUGAAAGUAAUAAUCCAGAUUAAUUCAAGCUUCUGUAGCAGUGUGGAAACAGUUUCCCAUUCGAUCUGCAACUAAAUCUAGAGACUUCCCCCACAGAAAAUACACACACAUACACAACACACACACAGAGUACGUAGAAUGCCUUGAAGAAACUGUAGCUAACCACCUUAUUAGUAUUCCUCCCUCCUCUGUGUUUCACUUGCAGCAACAGAGGGCUGAGCAAAAUGCAGUAGAACAGGGACAGAGACAGAGCUGGCAAUCAUCUCAAUGCAGGCUGCUGAAUGUAGGGGGUGGGGGGAUGCAGCAAAGCAAGAUUAAUAACCUUGCCAUAAUCCUGUGCACUCUGGAAGGAGAUACCUCUGGUGACGGAGCCAUUCUUGUCUUGAUUAAUUGGACUGAGUGAGUGAGUGGCUGGCAAUCCACCUGGUUUGGAGGGGACCCCUGUGUUUUGCUGUUCUUUGAAUCCUCUACCCAUCUGAGAAGGUAACAGUGAGACAUACCAUCUGCAGCACACACAGCAGCUAUUGGAGGCUACUACUGACAGUUUGCACUACAGUUUUUGGUGAGCAAGAAGCCAGGUAUCGUGUACAGUGGAGAUUAAUAUAUCCAGGGCACUCAAUUUCACAGUCUGGUCCCUCAGCCACCUCCCCCCACCAAACACCCUUUCCCAAUUGCCUUUGAGUUCUGGGCUCACUUUUGACAUAGUCUUUUGGACACAUUUUGCUGGGAAUGGAAGAUCAGUAAAUGGAACCUUUGAAAACUAAUCAUUUUGCUUCUAUGUGACUUGAAAAAAUAAACAGAAAAAGAAGAAUUCAAGUCCAUCUGGAGGAAUUUUUAAUUUCCUUUGGAGAAGUUUUAGGAGGGACCAUCUAAAAGUUUCACCUACUAUGUCAUUGAUCAUAUUUUGUGUGAGAUCACAUCUACCUUGCCAGCUGGGAGGAAUGGAACAUCCAGUGUAUGUGGUACAUCAUGA